GCUCUGGUGGUGGAAUAGGUAGACACGCGGGACUUAAAAUCCCGUGGCCCGAAACGGCCGUACGGGUUCGAUUCCCGUCCGGAGCA
rnacentral:tRNA from 1 species